GAUGAACGCUAGCGAUAGGCCUAACACAUGCAAGUCGAGGGGCAGCAUAGAGUAGCAAUACUUUGAUGGCGACCGGCGCACGGGUGAGUAACACGUAUGCAACCUACCUACAUCAGGGGAAUAACCCGGAGAAAUUCGGACUAAUACCGCAUAAUACAGGGAUGCCGCAUGGCAAUAUUUGUUAAAGAUUUAUCGGAUGUAGAUGGGCAUGCGUUCCAUUAGCUGGUUGGUAAGGUAACGGCUUACCAAGGCAACGAUGGAUAGGGGAACUGAGAGGUUUGUCCCCCACACUGGAACUGAGACACGGACCAGACUCCUACGGGAGGCAGCAGUGAGGAAUAUUGGUCAAUGGACGAGAGUCUGAACCAGCCAAAUCGCGUGAAGGAAGACUGCCCUACGGGUUGUAAACUUCUUUUGUACAGGAAUAAAAGACAUUACGUGUAGUGUAUUGCAUGUACUGUACGAAUAAGCAUCGGCUAACUCCGUGCCAGCAGCCGCCGUAA
rnacentral:rRNA from 1 species